rnacentral:rRNA from 1 species
GAUGAACGCUGGCGGCGUGCCUAAUACAUGCAAGUCGAGCGAACGGACGAGAGGCUUGCUUCUCUGAUGUUAGCGGCGGACGGGUGAGUAACACGUGGAUAACCUACCUAUAAGACUGGGAUAACUUCGGGAAACCGGAGCUAAUACCGGAUGAUAUUUUGAACCGCAUGGUUCAAAAGUGAAAGACGGUCUUGCUGUCACUUAUAGAUGGAUCCGCGCUGCAUUAGCUAGUUGGUAAUGUAACGGCUUACCAAGGCAACGAUGCAUAGCCGACCUGAGAGGGUGAUCGGCCACACUGGAACUGAGACACGGUCCAGACUCCUACGGGAGGCAGCAGUAGGGAAUCUUCCGCAAUGGGCGAAAGCCUGACGGAGCAACGCCGCGUGAGUGAUGAAGGUCUUCGGAUCGUAAAACUCUGUUAUUAGGGAAGAACAUAUGUGUAAGUAACUGUGCACAUCUUGUCGGUACCUAAUCAGAAAGCCACGGCUAACUACGUG